UUGUCUUGAGCUGAUCAGCAAACUGUGGUAGUGUUGGUUGAUUGGUGUCUAUAUUUGUUCAAGCUUGACAACCUUAUGACUUUAUUUUCUAAUAUAUAUAUUUCUCAUUACAGAUAAGAACAAAGAUUAAAUUGUAAGAAGGGUUGCUUAUAAAAGCAUACAGUACAUCUGAAACUGCUGAGGCUGGGAAGGUUUUUGACUAUAUUUCCGACCAGAUCAGCUGCUAUAGAAGACAAAAUGAAAUCUGAGUGCAGAGACAAGCAAAGGAAUACUGCAAGACACUACUGACUAGGCUGUGCCCAGGUAUCCGGAACCUGCGACGACGCUCAGCUCCAUCGGCCCUUAGUCUGCGGCUUCGGAUCCACCAGCUCUGUCUCCAACGGUCGGCCCCCAGAUGUCGGCAG